AUAUUCAUUUAGAUAAGUCGGUACAGAUUUCGAAAUGAAUGGUGUACUUGGAAAUUUUGCAAGGUUAAGCCAUUUUAACUACGAUCAAAACGGAAAGGACUGGAAUGUAAACACUGGCAGACAACAAACGCCUGUUUCUCUAGUUACAGCCAAGCGGUCAGGUCAACGGCGUCAGAGUUAAUCUUCAUUAACUACAACAAGGUCUUGUCCCGUUUCCUAAAACUAACCAACAAUGGGCAUACCCUGAAGAUGUCAAUACCCUGCGCAGAAGACUGUAGUCAACCAGCGGUUUGCGGAUGUAAGCUCAAAAGUAUCUACAAGGCUGUGCAGCUUCAUUUUCAUUGGGGUUCGCCAGAGAAGAAGGGAUCUGAACAUUCGAUAAACUGCACGCGAUAUGAUGCUGAACUGCAUAUUCUUCAUCAAGGAGAAUGCUGUGUGCUCUCCCAGAUGGGUUUGCUGUACUGGCAAAGAUGAGAAAUCUAUUUUUCGAAUCUGCUAUAGAUAAUUAAUUUGAACAGUUGAAAAGUGUUUUGAUUUCUGAGCUUAAGCGUACAUUGAGAUGUGCCGAUAUACAGUCGAAGCUUUAAGAGAGAAAUAAGAAAUAAGACUAGUAUUUUUAAGAAGUGUGUGAGUGAAAUGCCAAACAAACAAUACAAUGGUGGCAGGAAAUAUAUG